rnacentral:lncRNA from 1 species
UAGAGCUCAAGUGCUGGAAUUGAACCCAGAGCCUCAAACAUGCUAGGCAAGCACUCUACUCUGAGCUACAUUUCAGCCCUAGAUUUUUAUAUAUGUUUUCUAAAUUCAUGUGCCUAUUGACCAUGCAUUUUCUGUGAUAACUACCAUGUAUUGAGCAUGACUAAACUAAGCACUGUGCUGUAUACUAGGCCUAAAUAUAUUAACUCUGCAAAUAGCACUAUCACCACUUGCAGAUGAUAAAUAAGAUUCAGUGAGACUGAAGAACUUGAUCAUGUCAGAUGGGAAAGCAGGAUAUCUGACUGUGCAGCCUGCACUCUGGCCACAUCUACAGCAGGAUGGUAGUAUGUCAGUAACUUUCAGAAUCAUCAUGGGAGAGGCCUUUUACCAAACAUCAUCA